rnacentral:rRNA from 1 species
UCUCGUCAGCUCCCGGCCGUUAAGCUGCGUCGGGUCCCGUUAGUACUUAGGAGGGUGACCACUUGGGAAUACGGGAUGCUGUUGGCA